AUUGAACGCUGGCGGCAGGCCUAACACAUGCAAGUCGAGCGGAUGAAGGGAGCUUGCUCCUGGAUUCAGCGGCGGACGGGUGAGUAAUGCCUAGGAAUCUGCCUGGUAGUGGGGGAUAACGUCCGGAAACGGGCGCUAAUACCGCAUACGUCCUGAGGGAGAAAGUGGGGGAUCUUCGGACCUCACGCUAUCAGAUGAGCCUAGGUCGGAUUAGCUAGUUGGAGAGGUAAAGGCCUACCAAGGCGACGAUCCGUAACUGGUCUGAGAGGAUGAUCAGUCACACUGGAACUGAGACACGGUCCAGACUCCUACGGGAGGCAGCAGUGGGGAAUAUUGGACAAUGGGCGAAAGCCUGAUCCAGCCAUGCCGCGUGUGUGAAGAAGGUCUUCGGAUUGUAAAGCACUUUAAGUUGGGAGGAAGGGCAGUAAGUUAAUACCUUGCUGUUUUGACGUUACCAACAGAAUAAGCACCGGCUAACUUCGUG
rnacentral:rRNA from 1 species